ACUUUGUCCACACAUAACAGAUCCCUGUGUCCCCAUAGACACCAGCAACAGCAGACCACCAAUCAGAGUUCAGAGCAGGAUCAGAGUCAGUCUGCUGGAAUAUGCGGUGCUCAAUCAGAGUAUAUGCCUCUGCAGAAGAGAUGCACAGAUGACUAUGACACUCUCACACCCUUGUAUAUGCCACUGCAGAAAGGUUCUACAGAUGUCUAUGAAACAAUUAAAUCAUCCAAGGACUCUCAAGAAG